rnacentral:rRNA from 1 species
GUACACAAAAAUGCACAUACUGUGAGCUCGAUGAGUAGGGCGGGACACGUGGUAUCCUGUCUGAAUAUGGGGGGACCAUCCUCCAAGGCUAAAUACUCCUGACUGACCGAUAGUGAACCAGUACCGUGAGGGAAAGGCGAAAAGAACCCCGGCGAGGGGAGUGAAAAAGAACCUGAAACCGUGUACGUACAAGCAGUGGGAGCCUCUUAAUGGGGUGACUGCGUACCUUUUGUAUAAUGGGUCAGCGACUUAUAUUCUGUAGCAAGGUUAACCGAAUAGGGGAGCCGAAGGGAAACCGAGUCUUAACUGGGCGUUAAGUUGCAGGGUAUAGACCCGAAACCCGGUGAUCUAGCCAUGGGCAGGUUGAAGGUUGGGUAACACUAACUGGAGGACCGAACCGACUAAUGUUGAAAAAUUAGCGGAUGACUUGUGGCUGGGGGUGAAAGGCCAAUCAAACCGGGAGAUAGCUGGUUCUCCCCGAAAGCUAUUUAGGUAGCGCCUCGUGAAUUCAUCUCCGGGGGUAGAGCACUGUUUCGGCAAGGGGGUCAUCCCGACUUACCAACCCGAUGCAAACUGCGAAUACCGGAGAAUGUUAUCACGGGAGACACACGGCGGGUGCUAACGUCCGUCGUGAAGAGGGAAACAAC